rnacentral:lncRNA from 1 species
UGUGGCGCUGCCCGGAGCCGGCCCGCAGCGCCAGCCCGUUCUGGCCACCGCCAGGGACAGGCUGCUCACAGCACGCACGUAGUGCAGAAUGAAGCUAAUUUACCAAAUUCUGUGACAGGUUAUCCCAGCGCUCCUUUCAAUCUGAAGUUAAAACCAUGGCAUUUAAACAUAGAUCCUGAACUUGAACCACUGAAAGGAAAGCAAAAGGACUCUGACAGGAG